UACGAAGGGGGCUAGCGUUGCUCGGAAUCACUGGGCGUAAAGGGUGCGUAGGCGGGGCUUUAAGUGAGGGGUGAAAUCCUGGAGCUCAACUCCAGAACUGCCUUUGAUACUGAAGAUCUUGAGUUCGGGAGAGGUGAGUGGAACUGCGAGUGUAGAGGUGAAAUUCGUAGAUAUUCGCAAGAACACCAGUGGCGAAGGCGGCUCACUGGCCCGAUACUGACGCUGAGGCACGAAAGCGUGGGGAGCAAACAGG
rnacentral:rRNA from 1 species